rnacentral:rRNA from 1 species
GACGAACGCUGGCGGCGUGCCUAAUACAUGCAAGUUGAGCGAUGAAGAUUGGUGCUUGCACCAAUUUGAAGAGCAGCGAACGGGUGAGUAACGCGUGGGGAAUCUGCCUUUGAGCGGGGGACAACAUUUGGAAACGAAUGCUAAUACCGCAUAACAACUUUAAACAUAAGUUUUAAGUUUGAAAGAUGCAAUUGCAUCACUCAAAGAUGAUCCCGCGUUGUAUUAGCUAGUUGGUGAGGUAAAGGCUCACCAAGGCGAUGAUACAUAGCCGACCUGAGAGGGUUAUGGGCCACAUUGGGACGGGAACACGGCCCAAACCCCUACGGGAGGCAGCAGUAGGGAAUCUUCGGAAAUGGACGAAAGUCUGACCGGGAAACCCCGCGGGAGUGAAGAAGGUUUUCGGAUCGUAAAACUCUGUUGGUAGAGAAAAACGUUGGUGGGGGGGGAAAGCUCAUAAAGUGACGGUAGCAACCCAAAAAGGGGCGGCUAACUACGU